AACGAACGCUGGCGGCAGGCCUAACACAUGCAAGUCGAGCGGACAUCUUCGGAUGUUAGCGGCGGACGGGGGAGUAACGCGGGGUAACGUGCCCUUUGCUUCGGCAUAGCCUCGGGAAACUGGGUGUAAUACCGGAUGUUCCCUUUGGGGGAAAGAUUUAUCGGCAAAGGAUCGGUCCGCGUUGGAUUAGGUAGUUGGUGGGGGAAUGGCCUACCAAGCCGACGAUUCAUAGCUGGUUGGGGAGGAUGGUCAGCCACACUGGGUCUGAGACACGGACCCGAAUCCUAGGGAAGGGAGGAGAGGAGAAUCCAAGACAAUGGGGGAAACCCUGAUCGAGCCAUGCCGCGUAAGCGAUGAAGGCCUUAGGGUAGUGAAGCUCUUUCACCGGGGAAGAUAAUGACGGUACCCGGAGAAGAAGCCCCGGCUAACUCCGUG
rnacentral:rRNA from 1 species